CAUUUUGAUGUUUGAAUUUGACAUGCGAAACUUGCGUCAUUUCAAUACCAUUGUCCUUUUAUAUCGAAAUUAAAGCAUAAUUUUGUUUUUUAUGGAUUAUUCAACAACUACCCAACAAAAAGAAUAUGGUGAAUUUAUCAAUAAAAUACAAUUUUUAUCAUAUGUCCAAGGAAGUUUAUCUUAUAUUCUAAUGUCACUGUUAGAAGUUCAUCAUGAUUUUAUUUUAAGCUGGAUAUACAUUUUUUAGUUACACUGGAGAAUAUUUCUUCUCAUUCCUCUUCUAUAAUAUGGUUUAUGGAAUGGCAGUGAUGAUAUAUUUUCGCCCAUCAUUGCAAAGAAUAUAUGGAUUUCACAAAUUCACAUUCAGCUUACUGGCAUCUCUAAUGUUCAACCAUUCAUGUAUGAAAUUGUUCCGAUGGAUAUUUACUACAAUGAGAGAUCAACCUAUGGCUCGAACUGUAGUAUCAUUUUGUUGUGGGAGAAUUGUUAUAUUUUUAUUUAUUUCAUACCUAUAUCACGUGGAUAACACCGUAGGCUACACAAUCUUUCAACGAAUUUGAUACUAUUUUUAACAAAAUGAUGUAAUCUAUAAAUUUAAAUAAAUUAUUAACAGAAA